AAAUACUCAAAACAACUUGAAUAUGAAAAAUUUGUAUCACCAAAAGACAAGAGGCUCAACCACUUAAUUAACAUUCGUGACAAAAUAGAAACUAUUUGAUUGGAUUGAUUAGACUGUUGAUGUGACAUUUACAAUUAAUUAGUGAUUAAAGUAUUUAAUCAAAGGGGAACAAUUUAAAUUGAGUUGAUAAAGUUGAUGGAACAAUUGAAAUUCAAAAACGACAGAAUCUUUUGUAGUUGCUGAAAGAAAACACAGAUGUCACUAGUCUUAAAUUUUUGUCGAAAAAAAAUUUUUUCAAAUUUUUUGGUUCGAAAAUUUUAAUUCAAUUCAAUUGUUGUGUCUUUUUAAUUUAAUUGUUUUGAUUGAUAUUCAUUUAUUUCUGUGUCUAAUUGUUUUAAUUUCUAAUUAAUUAGACUCUUUUAUGAGUAAUUCUGUGGAAUUUUUCUGUCGAAAGGAUUUGGAGAUUCAUUUGGAUGUUUAAUGAUUUUUGUGUUCACUGAUUUCGAUUGAUGGAAUUAGGAAAAAAUAGGAUUGCAAGUUCUUACCUUGUUAACAUUUCCUGAUGGCUCCUUGUCCAACAUACUAAUCAUGGCUACACUCAGAUUGGCUCGGGCGGCAUACAUAACGGCCGAUGAGAGGCAAGCAAUUAAAGCGAUGUAAUAACGGAAAGGAAAGAUC